rnacentral:rRNA from 1 species
GACGAACGCUGGCGGCGUGCUUAACACAUGCAAGUCGAACGGAAAGGCCCUGCUUUUGUGGGGUGCUCGAGUGGCGAACGGGUGAGUAACACGUGAGUAACCUGCCCUUGACUUUGGGAUAACUUCAGGAAACUGGGGCUAAUACCGGAUAGGAGCUCCUGCUGCAUGGUGGGGGUUGGAAAGUUUCGGCGGUUGGGGAUGGACUCGCGGCUUAUCGGCUUGUUGGUGGGGUAGGGGCUUACCAAGGCUUUGACGGGUAGCCGGCCUGAGAGGGUGACCGGCGACAUUGGGACUGAGAUACGGCCCAGACUCCUACGGGAGGCAGCAGUGGGGAAUAUUGCACAAUGGGCGGAAGCCUGAUGCAGCAACGCCGCGUGCGGGAUGACGGCCUUCGGGUUGUAAACCGCUUUCGCCUGUGACGAAGCGUGAGUGACGGUAAUGGGUAAAGAAGCACCGGCUAACUACGUG